UACGUAGGGUGCAAGCGUUGUCCGGAAUUAUUGGGCGUAAAGAGCUCGUAGGCGGUUUGUUGCGUCGGCUGUGAAAUCCCGAGGCUCAACCUCGGGUCUGCAGUCGAUACGAGCAAACUAGAGUGUUGCAGGGGAGGCUGGAAUUCCUGGUGUAGCGGUGAAAUGCGCAGAUAUCAGGAGGAGCACCGAUUGCGAAGGCAGCUCGCUGGGACGUAACUGACGCUGAGACGCGAAAGCGUGGGGAGCAAACAGG
rnacentral:rRNA from 1 species